GGUCAGGAGGCUGAGCAUCCCUUUGGUGCCGUGCAGAGACUUCUAGCCAUGGAACAACUGUUUGGUGCAGAGUAGACUUGGAGUCAUGGAGCUUUUGCAGGUCCAUGGAACUAGGAGGCAUCUAAGGGAGACAAGCGUGCGCUUCAAUCAAACUUAUGAUGAGAGAAGAGUCACAACUCUUGGAGAUUAAGAGAAUUUGGAAAGUUAAAGAAAUCCAAAUAGGUACUCAUUGGGCCGUCAGUGUAUCAGAUUCUGGUGAAGACCUGGCAGCCUUGGAUCUUAGAGAUGACAGGACACAAAGAGGGAAGUCCACCGAGGUCCUUCAAAGGACUCAGGCUUUCAAAGGUGGCAGCAAAGAUCUGUUGAAACCUUAAUCCUCAGCAUUCCAGAACACAGCUUCCUCAAUGGCCAUCCCAUCUGUAAUUAGUUUGGAUGAAGUCUUCCUGGGAUAGGAUGGUCUGUGGUGUGAUGCCCCAAAGCAUGUCACCCAAAAGAAACCACAGAUUGCAUAUUCUGAAGACCCAGAAACAAGAGUUCAGGGUGUGAUGAGAUAGAGAAUUCUCCAAGGGAAAGAAUUGUUCAUUAUAACAGGUAGCUGGAAUAUAGUGGACACUCAACAAACACUUGCUUCAUGUUACUUAAUAAUGAAUGAACACCAAGUGUAUUCUGUUGGCUAA
rnacentral:lncRNA from 1 species